CCACCUUUGCAUGUCUUGCAUGGGAACUAAAUUCAACAAAAAAACACUAGGUAAGUUGAUGAGUUGAAGAGCCUAUAUAUAUAUAUCCAAAAGUUGGCUCAAUUAGUAUUAUUAAAUAGCAAGACCUGAAAUCACUUAAAAUAAGACCAUGAAUCUACAAAUAAAUUUAUUUAUGUCCUUUUAGGAGUGAAGCGAAAGGACUUCAACGCUCUCUCUUCUCUUCCUCUUUCUCGUACGCAUAUUCUUAUCCUGGAUGCUUUUACAUUCAAUCUUCAAC
rnacentral:lncRNA from 1 species